CCUCUUCAGUAGCCAUGGAAUUUGUUCGAUGAUUUGAACUUUGACAACUCUCAAAUAUAUUGUUCCUGCAAAGUUUCUAUAAGGAUCACAAGAACAGGCAGCUAUUGGAGGGGUUUAUAAAUGAGGGCCGAACCCUGGGGGUCUUUGGAUAUUAUCAGGAGAAAUAAACUAUCAGAUAAAAGCAAUGAGUAAAAACUAUGAAAUAGGGUUUCUUACAGGACUCAGUCGCUUAGUUCAUUUAACAGACCAAUAUUAGUAUGUUCUGUCCUCUCCCCAUACUCUCCUGCCCUUUCUCUCCUUCCAACUCCAUUCAAGAAUAGUGUUUUGGUAGUAUUUUAGUCUUAUGUCAAAUUUUUAUUCAAGUUAACAAGGAAGUUCAAAAGCUGUGGGGAAGCAGAGCUACAUACACAGGCAGCUCACUGAGGCAAUGGAAGCAGGGACACGUGACCUGGGAAGAAUACAUGGAUGCCAUCCAAACAUGCAGAGAUGGGAUGAGGAAAGCCAAGGCACAGAUGCAACUGAACUUGGUGAAGGGUGUGAAAAAUAACAAGAAGGGAUUCUAUAGGUGUGCUGAGCAGAAGAGAGUGUGUUGAGCCGAGGAGAGUACAACCCCUCUGAUAAAUGAGAAGGGAGAAACUGGCUUCAACAGACGUGGGGAAGACUGAGGAACUCAAGUUCUUUGCCUCAGUCUUCACUGGCAGUCAGGCUUCCCACAUCUCUAAUGUCCCAGAACCUCUAGUGGGGAGUCAGGGGAGCAAAAGUCCAAGUGUUUCCCAUGGGCAGUUUACAACAUUGACCGUAUACUGAAAAUAGCUUUAGUUUUCUUGUUUGACUUUUUUGACCAGAUGGAAAUUUCAGGUCCACAGAAGGACUAUCAUGCACACUUUCUUGGAUUGUUUUGCCCUCUGGUUGCAGAAUUGCUGGUCCUGGUUAGAAUCCUUAUACAGUGUGGAGGAGCACUUCAUGCCAUAGUGUAUCCAAACUGAUGGGACAUUGCUGAGAAUGGAGCUAAAACUCUUUGCAAGCAGGUAUCUCAGUACUUUCACUCAAUAUUCCCAAGCCUUAUUUUACAUUAUGAAGGAGAUGUCAGUACUUCCUUCAAACGUAUCAAAUGGACAUUACACUUUUCUUUAAAACCAUGACUGCUGUUCAUGCUUACCUGCUUGUAAAAAACCUCUAUAUAAAGAAUGCUCAAGGGAUUGUCAAAAGCAAAGAUUUUUCUCUGGAAAUGUGGGGUUUAAAUUCCUCUGAGUGAUGAAAGGGCAAAUAAGCCUGUGUCAACAGACCAUAACACAGCUAGGCAUUUACACACUGGCAGGUAUGUAAAGACCACCAGUUGUGUUUUAAAAGCUGCUCUCAUUGCAUUUUGGGAGGUUCUGAGAACACCUGCUGCAUUAGGUUGCUGAGAGGAGGCAAGCAGAAAAGUUUCUGUUUUGCUAAUGCUGAUGAGGAAGAGAAACAGGGAAGGCUUCAGGCUUCAUGAGCUGCCAGCCUGGGGGACUGCCACGAGGAAGGCACUGCUAGGAUGGUGGGAUGGUGGGGUGACUGGGAAGGACUUUCUGGGACUUUGUUUUAAAUAUUUAACUCAGGUAAUUAUGUCUUUUUUUUUUUUUUUUUUUUUUUUUUUAAAACUGAAUUCCUGCAUGCCCCAAAGACUGCAGCUAUACUAAGUGUUUCUCUUCUUGGGAGAAAAAGCUAUGCACCAGGUGCAAAAAAUGGAGAACAAAGUAUCUGUACCCUGUAGGCCCUGGGACAAAAAGAAUUCCAGCCUGCAAACUUCACCUCUUGCUGAAGAUAAAGACAAAAGUCUUAGAGAUUCUUACCAGUCUAUCCCAGAGCAAACUACUUUUCCACCACCAAAUCUGGAGGUUUGCCUGACUCUGAGCCUUCCAUCAGUGGUCUAACCCCACUGCUGUCUGUUUCCAGCUGGUGGCUAAAGUCUGAUACUUUAGAAAGUGGUAGGUGGGUAGGAGAAGUAAUCAAAGUACGUGUAGAAAGGAGAGAAGGAAUUCUUUCGUAGCCUGAAGGCAAUCAUGUGAAGUCCUCAGGACUGAUUGCAAGCUGUGAUUUGGAGUUUCUCCCACUGAAGGAUGCUUAUCGGUGAUUGGAUCUUGCUGUGCUUUUAUCAGUAAAAUUUUAAAAGCUCUCUACUCCCAGAUAUCCAUCCCAUGUGCUAAUACAUAUGCAAAAUACCCAAAUCACCUCAGGCUUUUUUUUUUUUUAAGUGAAUAUAUUGUGGUUCUUACAUCUCCCCCACUGCAGUUUGCAUGGCAGCCCAUAGGACAGCCUUGUGGUUCCCAUUUAAAACCUCUGUAGUAUUUCCUCAGCCUCCCUUUAGGAGUGGGGACAAGGAAUGCAAUGCCAGCUUCUAGCAAUCACUAACUAAUGCCCUAUGCAGAGCUCACAUCUCUGUAUUUGCUUUCUAAAUAACUAUCAGAUACUAUUUGUUAGAGCACUUCACUAAGCAUUUAUUAAAUGUAAGCAAUAGUGUACCUGCAGAUAGACCUCCACCUUCAGGAGCAAGUUCAGGCUGUCCCCCAGGAAGGUGUUUGUGGUUAAUCACACAGGAUUCAGGAGGGUUUGGCAUGGCCUCUUGGGCAAUCUUAAGUAAUGAAGUUGACCUUUCUGCAUUGCCGUCUCUCUUACCUCAGCCCCAUUUCUUUAAGGCGUGUGCAAUACUUGCACUGCUCUAAUCCCACCUGGUCUAUCUGCAGGCGCAUCUGCACAAGUGGUGACUCUGCCUGCACACUGAGUCAGCCGAGUGAAAGCCUCCUCCGAGCUAGAAGCUGUUUAGACGUGUUGCUGAAGGCUGUGCCCAUUCUAAUGCUUUUCUCCACAGAGAAAAAAAACAUGCUGAGUUGCUGAAUUAACUGUUGUCGGGCUCCUCAAGCAUGAAAAUGACCAGUGUUCUCCAGCACACAAAGCUUUCAUGCCAAAGACAUUUCAGGUCUCACACUGCUCCUGUCCAGCAUCAAUGCGCCCAGUGCUUGCACUCAGCCCGCUUUCCUGCCUCACUCCCUCCCCAGUUCCCCUGGUCAGCC
ensembl:lncRNA